CGGCAUGUGAGAUGGUCUCCUAGUAAUCAUUGAAGGACUCACUGUUUCGUCGUGAUACAUUUUUAUACUUGGACCUUCCGAAUAUUUUCCCAUGCCACUGGUGUCUCUUGUUGGAAGUCGAAUUAGAAUCGUGUAAACCUAGAUUUUUUGUAAUCGUGGUUAUCAGCGAUACUAAUGGCUCUCUCAACAGUUAACGUGGUAGGAUGAAUUCCACUUAAAGAGGCAGAUCGAGAAACCGUACCAGUAAGAGGGGUUUCCGCUGACAAUGGCGUUAUGGCUUCGUCAUAACCGUGUGUAGCACGACUGCUCUCAGCUCCCUCGAUAUCCUCUUCUUCGUCAUCGUCUUCGCGACCACUAUGCCACCACGCGAUGCACCACAUCUUUAACCACAUCCACGAAAAUGAUAAGAGACUGCGAUAUGUGUCGCGUUCACGUCUUCGACUCCUGUGCUCGAUUCGCUUCUAGGCCUCCUGCAGUCCUCCAUGUCUAACGCUUCAUCGCUAUUUAUAAGAAAAGAAAUAAUUAGAUGGGUUAUCUAUCUCUUUUCAUUUUUUGAGUUAUUAACUCGUUGUAUUUGUUAAUACGUUGUACAUGUGUACAAAUAUAAAUUUUAAAAUAACUUAGAAUUAAAAAAAAAUAGAUAUUA